UGAGAAAACCUGAAAGAGCUGGAUUCUGUUGCCAAGGAAACCAUCUUCCCUAGAGGGGUCGAGAAUAAAUGGGUAUCUGUGUUGUUGGAUAUGCCUGACUGACAGUCCUCCCCAGAGGUAGAUGAACGAGCCGUGUGACCUCUGGAGAUUUCUCUUAGGCUCGGGCCUAUACAAUCUGAAGAAUACAGAGAAAUCUCAAGCCUUCCAUUAUUCAUGCUUGAUGCUUAGAUGGCCUUGCACAUGUGGCGAAGUUUAUAAUUUGAACUGACUUUACUACCAGUAUGCUAAUGAGAUAGAUGGAGGAAUCACAGCAAAGCUGCCUUGGACAAAUGCUGUCUAGAACAACAUCGAUCAUCCCUCUUUAUAAGGUAAAGCAGAGCCUGAUUGUACUUGAGGAACUAACUAUCCAGGUAACACUCGUUCUAUAGCUGCUUAAGCUGAUGGGAAAGAAGUUGCUCCAAGUCCUCUGACCUUCACUGCUCAGGAUGUCUGACCUGUGCCAAAGAAUGUAACUUCAGGGAAUCAGGAGACCUGCAAGCUGAAGACCAGCCCAGACAACUUAGUAAAACCCUUUUUCAAAAUGGCCCCUGAAAAGCACACCUACGGGACUUAAAGCCGAACUGUGCUGCUGGGAUGUGUCUUAGAGGAAAAUUAUCUUCAAAUCAGAGAUGGGAGAACAGACCUGUCAGGAAGGAUUUACAGCAAAGAUGAGGAAGUAGCGACAUGGAAGAGCUCUCGGCUGCUUUGUGUGAGACUCCUCAGGCCCAGACGACUCACGCUUCACAAUAAUGAGAAAGGACUCAGAGGUCCUUAGAAGGCAGACUAGUUCUGCUUGUUAGAAAAGAGCACUAAAAGAGGAGGAAGAACUGCAACACGAAAAGGCUUACUUCCCCGUGUGCGGAAGGCCGCCUGCAAUUCCUUUAAAAAGUUGCACGUACAAUCGCCAUGGAUGGAGGAAGCUGGAAGAGAGAGAAGCUGGUCAGUAAAGCCGAGAGCAGCGGCUCCCAGAUGAAGUCAAGAACGCCCUGGAUUCUGCGUCUAUUGAGGAUCAGAGUGUUUGGAGCCUUGCAGGCUUGAGAAAUACUGAGUCCCAGAGUUGGCAAAAAGGCCUUUUAAUUUCCGUUCUUACAUUUUCUUUUCUAGUCAAAGUAGAGUGUAUUUCAAAUGUUCUUGUAAUUGCUCUCGAAGGAAACUUCUGGGGAGUUGCCAAUUAUUUUUGGAAUUAGCAGCAGAACCCUAUUCCUUGUUUCUUUGAAUCCCCUGAGUUUUGGUUUUCUGGAUUUCCUACAGAUAAUAUUAUACUACGAUCAGAAAAGUCACAGAACAGCACACUCAGUAUCCUGAGUAUCCUUUUUAAGAAUAUGCUUUAAAAAAAAAAAAACCUAGCCAAAUAAAUUAAAGGAAUAAGUCCUAAUGUUCUCCAGCACAGAAAAGUAGCUAUAGGGCAUAAAAACUUAUUUAAUAUUUUAUAAAGAAUAAGAAAAGAGGGACUGAAGGGUUCCAAGACAAAUGAAAUGUUUAUGAAAAUGCCAAUUAUAGUCAAUGAAUAACUGCACAUUAUAUUAAUAUACAUAUUAAAAGAACUGGCUGUGCUCUGUGGAUAUGUACAACUGUCAAAAAUCAAUAGAAAUGUAUUGUUCAUAAUUCUGUAAAGAUAA
rnacentral:lncRNA from 1 species